CUUCUUCUUCUUCUUCUUCUUCAGGUUUCUCUAUCACUUCUGGUGUAUCUGCCUCAUUUUUCUUCACUUUGAUAUGAUUGUAGGAGCCUCUCUCUUUAAACAACUGAGCAAAAUGGGGUUUGCAGUAAAGAAUCCCAUCUAGAGCAGCAUAAGAUGAGGGUGUGAGGUAGCAACCCCCAUGAGAGCACCUGAAGCAUGUCUUGUGAUAGGAUUCUCCCACCACACUCACCUGUUACAAAUGGUUUUAUUAAAACGAUAAACAUCUUUAAAUUUCUUAUUGUCUAUUUUUUUGUUUUUUUUUAUCAUAUAUUGCACAAAACUAUUGAGAAAUUAUAUUAAUAUAUGCAACUUCUCUAAUGGGUAUGCUGUUUUUUUGCAGCGUGCACACUUGUCUUGAGUGCCAGAGAACAUGGUGGAAAAUUUGGUAGGAGACUUUGCCUGUCCAAUUUUCUUUUUCCCAGAUGAUGAGUAUUUGUUUGUAUAUUUGCCAGUCUCUUUGAAUAAUCGCUCAAAGUGAGGUUUACAGUACAAGACUUCAUCCAUUGAGGAAUAGCUGCUCAUCUGCAACAAAAUUGUAAACACCAGAAUUUAUCAGAAUGCAUUGAAACUGACAUAAAAAUGAGAUGGAGAAGUCCAUUGCAGUACUUGCACUUGAAGCAUGUCUUAUGAUAAGGAGUGCCACCAGCUGUAACCAUUUCGAUGAAAUGAACAGUCUUAUCGCAAGCCUUGCAUUUAUCUGUCGUUCCACUGAAAACCAUUGUUAUAAUUUUGUGUUUGUAUAGAAGAGUCUAGGAAGAACUAGCUAGAAAAGCUUCUUCUGAAGGGGAAUAUUAUUUUUGUUCCAACAACAAACAGCAGGAGUUCAAGUCUCUAUCUUAGAAAGUUGAGACUUGAGAUAGAUAUGUUCAUUGAACUCUCAGAAAUUUGUUGUUGCCUUUUUUUUU
rnacentral:misc_RNA from 1 species